rnacentral:rRNA from 1 species
UACAGAGGUCCCAAGCGUUGUUCGGAUUUACUGGGCGUAAAGGGUGCGUAGGUGGCGGGGUAAGUCUGGUGUGAAAGCUCCGAGCUCAACUCGGAAAAGCAUUGGAAACUAUUCCGCUAGAGGGUCGGAGGGGAGACUGGAAUUCUCGGUGUAGCAGUGAAAUGCGUAGAUAUCGAGAGGAACACCAGUGGCGAAGGCGAGUCUCUGGACGACUCCUGACACUGAGGCACGAAAGCUAGGGGAGCAAACAGG